rnacentral:rRNA from 1 species
CUCCUCCAAGGCAGGUGUAGAUCCGGUCUCUACCCCCUAUCAUCGGCUUCCUUAAGCCCGGGCAGGCAAGCUUUUGGCGCCACCAAGAUAUCUCCGUCAAGGUGGCACAAUCGACUAGGUCAUCCAUCUUCGCAAAUUGUUCAGCAUGUUCUUAGGCAAAACAAAAUUUCCUUUUCUAGUCAUGAGUUGAAUAAAGAAGGAGUGUGUGAUGCAUGUCAAAAAGGCAAAAGUCACCAACUCCCUUAUCCAAAUUCUAGUAGCACUUCGAAUGCUCCUUUAGAGCUCAUUUUUUCCGAUGUAUGGGGGCCUGCCCGUGAUUCUAUUAAUAAAAAGAAU